CCUACGGGUGGCAGCAGUAGGGAAUAUUGCUCAAUGGGGGAAACCCUGAAGCAGCAACGCCGCGUGGAGGAUGAAGGUUUUAGGAUUGUAAACUCCUUUUGUGAGAGAAGCAAAUGACGGUAUCCCACGACUAAGCACCGGCUAACUCCGUGCCAGCAGCCGCGGUAAUCCGGAGGGUGCAAGCGUUACUCGGAAUCCCUGGGCGUAAAGCGUGCGCAGGCGGGCUUUUAAGUCAGAUGUGAAGUCCUGUAGGUUAACUACAGAACUGCAUUUGAAACUAUGAGUCUAGAGUGUGGGAGAGGUAGGUGGAAUUCUUGGUGUAGGGGUGAAAUCCGUAGAUAUCAAGAGGAAUACUCAUUGCGAAGGCGACCUACUGGAACAUUACUGACGCUCAUGCACGAAAGCGUGGGGAGCAAACAGGAUUAGAUACCCCAGUAGUC
rnacentral:rRNA from 1 species